UACGUAGGUGGCGAGCGUUGUCCGGAAUUACUGGGUGUAAAGGGAGCGUAGGCGGUAUAAUAAGUUGGAUGUGAAAUGUACGGGCUCAACCCGUGAGCUGCAUCCAAAACUGUAAUACUUGAGUGAAGUAGAGGCAGGCGGAAUUCCUGGUGUAGCGGUGAAAUGCGUAGAUAUCGGGAGGAACACCUGUGGCGAAAGCGGCGCACUGGACCAUAACUGACGCUGAGGCGCGAAAGCUAGGGGAGCAAACAGG
rnacentral:rRNA from 1 species